GAUGAACGCUGGCGGCGUGCCUAAUACAUGCAAGUCGAGCGAACGGACGAGAAGCUUGCUUUUCUGAUGUUAGCGGCGGACGGGUGAGUAACACGUGGAUAACCUACCUAUAAGACUGGGAUAACUUCGGGAAACCGGAUCUAAUACCGGAUAAUAUUUUGAACCGCAUGGUUCAACAGUAAAAGACGGUCUUGCUGUCACUUAUAGAUGGAUCCGCGCUGCAUUAGCUAGUUGGUAAGGUAACGGCUUACCAAGGCAACGAUGCAUAGCCGACCUGAGAGGGUGAUCGGCCACACUGGAACUGAGACACGGUCCAGACUCCUACGGGAGGCAGCAGUAGGGAAUCUUCCGCAAUGGGCGAAAGCCUGGCGGAGCAACGCCGCGUGAGUGAUGAAGGUCUUCGGAUCGUAAAACUCUGUUAUUAGGGAAGAACAUAUGUGUAAGUAACUGUGCACAUCUUGACGGUACCUAAUCAGAAAGCCACGGCUAACUACGUG
rnacentral:rRNA from 1 species